GCAUCACAGCUCUGGAGCAGGAGAAAAGGAGGGGAAUUCAUGUGGAGGAGGGGUUUCAUCAAGAGUGAGAGAGCUUAAAAGAGAUGGUGAGAAAAAGCAAGAGAGCGAGAGACCGCGUAUGUGAGGGAGGAAGAUGCUGUUGCCAGGGAACAGCAGUGAAGUAGAAACGUCCAUCUUUCGCAGCUCGCAGGAGGACAGACACACGUCAAACCAUGGAUGCAAAACGGACUGAACGUGAGGAGAAGGAAAACAGCUGAUCCUGACUCCCUGUGGCUUCAGAGAAUCAAAGAGAAGGGGGACACGAUUUCUUUCUCAGCCUCUGUUUGACGCUUCAGUGAACAGCAAGAAUCCUCCAGCAGCCCACAUGCAGAUGUAAACAGUGAUGAUCAACACUCUGCUCAGGCAGAUCUAAGGAGGAGGUGGAAUAAAAUAAAGAGGAGCAACUGAGAGCAAAACAGGGAAGCUUUCAAAACGGCACAGAGGAAGUCUUCCUGAUCACAGCAGUGAGCUGAAGCCCGUCCUCCCUGGCAGAGGAUGGGUACAGCAGAAGCUACUUUGCGCAUGGACAGCAUGGAGGUAAAGGACGAGUGGCAGGAUGAAGACUUCCCAAGGCCACUACCAGAGGAUGGAGACGUUGAUUCUUCAUGUGGCCUCACUGACAUCAGAAACAAUCCGCCAACCACUCUCAAUGUGGGCGAGACCAUGGCCCAGCGUAAGCGCCGCACUCUGGUGGCCCCCGACAUGAGCCUCUCUCUGGAUCAGAGCGAGGGUUCGGUGCUCUCUGAUGAGUUUCUGGAAACGCCCGAUGACCUGGACAUCAACGUAGACGACAUCGAGACUCCUGACGAGACAGAUUCGCUGGAGUUUAUCAACAAUGGCAACGAGCUGGAGUGGGAAGACGACACUCCUGUGGCCACUGCCAAGCGUCUUCCAGGUGAAAGUGAAGAGGAGAGAGACUCAUCUGGUCGUCUGUGGCGAACAGUGAUCAUUGGUGACCAGGAGCAGCGGAUUGAUAUGCAGGUCAUCAGACCGUACCUGAGGGUGGUCACACAUGGAGGUUAUUAUGGAGAGGGUCUGAAUGCCAUCAUAGUGUUUGCAGCCUGCUAUCUGCCUGACAGCGGCUGUGAGGACUACACAUACAUCAUGGAGAAUCUCUUCCUGUACGUUGUGAGUAGCCUGGAGCUGCUGGUGGCAGAAGAUUAUAUGAUUAUUUACCUGAACGGAGCAACUCCUCGCAGGAAGAUGCCCGGCAUCAGCUGGCUGAAGAAGUGCUAUCAGAUGAUUGACAGGAAACUGAGAAAGAAUCUAAAGUGUCUCAUCAUCGCUCACCCAACGUGGUUCAUCCGGACCGUCCUGGCCAUCUCAAGACCUUUCAUCAGUGUGAAGUUCAUGGAUAAGAUCCGUUACGUUCACACCUUGGAGGAACUCAGCCAAAUCAUCCCCAUGGAGCAUGUGCAGAUCCCAGAGUGUGUGUUGCAAUAUGAUGAGGAGAAGAUAAGAACACAAAGAGAAAGACUUGAGCAAGAGCAGCAGCAGACAAACUCGACACUGCCUAAAGAAAGGUGACCCCAUUUUGCAGUACAUACAGUCCAGUGCCAAUUUUAGGCCAAAGUCAAUGGUAGCAGAUGUUGGUCGUGACAUCUGACAUUAAGAGCUUUAAACUGAAGAACCAAUGGGGGACAUUCAAUCAUUAAAAUGGGAGCCAGCCAAAACCGCCAUCACAUGCUUGUUGCACAGGGUUACAUCUCCUGACUGGAUCCAUUAGCUGCAAGACAAUCAUUUCUCAAAAACAUUAUUUUCAUUGAUAUACUUGCUUCUACAAGUUAAUUAACACCAAAGCAUUAUAAGAUUUAACUAAAUCACAAAGUAUCUGCUCCCUGCAUGUCAAGUUGAGCUUUAUCUACAGCAUGACUUCAACUAUAUAAAUGAAAAAUUAAGGACUUGGAUUAACAUUCAAGCAUCUUCCGACAAAGCCGGGGAAUAUUGUCUGUUUCAAAAUGUACAUACUUGUAUAGAUAUUUUUGAGGAAAGUUGUUUGCACAGAUGUUUGGUUUUUGAUAUGAGUGGCAUGGGUAUUGUUUGGUUUAAUGGCCAUUUACUGAAAAAUAAUGUGCAAUGAUAUUGUUCUUCUUAGACCUACAGUAGAUGUUACUGAUGCAAAUGUGCGUUACAGUUUUUAAGUUUUCCAGAGUUUGAUAUGCAGGUGGCAUGCUUGUUUAAAUCCUUCUGUCUCAUUUGUUUUUGUCAGUUUUUAGGUCAUUCGCCAUCAUAUUUUAAAAGGUACUUUUGCAAGAUGGGAAACAUACAUUGUUACAUAUGAAAUUAAAUAUAUUUAAAGAGAGAGUCAAAUUAAUUGCUUAAAAGUGUUAUUUAUGAAGAUGUGCCAUUUACUGUUUGUAAAAAAAGAAA